UCUCUUUCCAUCUAAGGAUGUUAGUUUAAUUACGCGCUCUUGCUGCUCAAUGUCUUUACAUAUAAUCAGUAGAUUUCCAUCUCUAAGGGGUUUAACACUCACUUCUCCAAUACUAUCAUUCAAAGCUUUAGUCAGCUUCAAUGGAUUGACAGAACCGGGAGAAUCAAACUGGAGCUCACACCCACAUUCAGACCAUUUCCGCCUUCUUCAUACUUCAAACGUCUCUCUGAUUGGAUGACAUUCCAACGAGCCAAUAGUCUUACAGAACGCUGGACAAUAUCCGCGAAUUGUAACUGAAUAGAGGCGGGGUUUUCUUGAAUACGGGUGUGUAUAGGAGGAUGGCAGAGAUCAUCCAAACGCAAUGCAGAACGGGACACUGAGUCUUGAAAACAGCUCACGGAAUCAUAUUUUCUGAUUUUUUCCGGAACUCUAUAUUACAUCUGGAGACGGAAAAACAUUUUAAGUAUUCGGAGAAAGCUGUGUUACGAUGAGUGCGAUUUAAAGAGGCUUUAGGGUGGUUUUUUUGGUACCUGUGAUUUGGUGGUCUGUGAGUCGCGUUUUUAUGACGUAAGACGCAAGGGGCGGGGCUGUUACGUUUGAACCAAACGCGCGACACGGAAGAUGUUUCUGUGGGCUGAAACAAAACAGAAAAAAAAUGCCAAAUCAGUUUGAAUAAAGUCAUUUUUUGUUGAAUAUAAGGAUCUAUAAACGCGUGUUUUGGGCCAGAUGAAGCUUACUGUGCAGUGACCAAUGGAGUCCACAUGAGGAUGCUAUUUCUCAAAAGAAGAAGAUCACCCAAGUCAUUAUACAGUUACACUGUGUAUGGUUCUCAUAUCAGGGUUUUCUUUAACAGAGUGGGUUAAAGUAAUCUCUUUAUCCUGGUCAAUGUUGCAGUGUCAUACAGGAACACACCCUCAUUGUCUGUGGGUUUGCAAAGGGGGUCCCUGGCCAGAAGCUAAUGCUGUUUGGAGGGCCUUGGCAUGGAAAAGUUUGGGAACCCCUGGACUAAGUGACUCUAGAUACAAUUUUUAAGUCAGAAAACCCCAGAACCCAGGAGCUUCGGGGGGCUUCGCCCUCCCUUGUCCCCCCACCAGGGCACUGCCAUGGACCAGCUGGGGGCCUGUGGCCCCCAGACCCCCAGCUAAAAUUUUCAGAUAAUUUCACCAGCCCCAAAUCACAUCCCUGAAGGUGUGUGCUUUUUCCAAAAAGAUCAUGAUGUGGUUAAACAAGCUCCAGGAGGGAGUUACAGAAAUGUUGCCACUACUUCACCAGGAGCUGCUGUCAUGUGAUGAUUUGGGCUCCGUCUCUCCAUUGAUCCAGUCCCACCUGGAGCACCUCCAAGGAUAUUUCAAAGACUAUUUCCCUGACCUCGAAAACACAUUUAAACUGGGUUAGGAACCCCUUUGCCCCCGGUGUCGGUUCUAGUCUGGACUUAGUCACAGGAGGAACUGAUUGAGAUGACAAACUCGGGGGAUUUAAAAAUGGACUUUGAGGCUCUUCCCCUGUCUAAUUACUGGCUACAUGUAAGAAAGGACUAUCCCAGCUUGUCUGACAAGGCAUUGAAAUGCCUUCUCCCUUUUGCAACAACCUACUUGUGUGAGUCAGGCUUUUCAACUUUAAAGGUACUCAAAACCAAACACAGAGCACGUCUACAUGUGGACAAUGACAUGCGUAUGGCACUGAUGGAGAUUAAGCCCAGGGUUGACAAAAUAUGUAGGAGCCACCAAUCCCAUCCCUCCCACUUGUGUAAACCGGCUGUCACUCCCAGACACACACACACACACACACACACACACAAUUGAGAGUGGUUUGAUUUCUUUUGUGCUGUUCUUAUCAACAGUUUGUUGAAAAGUUUAUUGUUCAGUGCGAAAAUAUUUGUGUUGA